UUGCAAUAUUUUUUGUCUGGCCUAGGAUGGCAUAUAGGCCAGGACCUGAUGCUGCAACCUGGUCUCAUUUUCAUAUUAUUCUGCAGACACAGCGGUUAGUAAGGGAGCAGUCAUGGAGAGGAGGGCCCCAAACUACUCCAAAUGGGCGGAAAGGCGAUCCACUGUGGUUUAUGCAAUGCGCUCUGCCACAUUCGGCUCGUGGAGGAUGCUGACUUUGGGCACGGAAUACAGCUCAUGGGCCCAGUCUCCUGAAAGCCUUCGUCAACGACAGGCAGUGAUAAGCGAGAAUGCUGAAGAAACGGACAGCAUCGACAUUGACCCGUCAUGGAGAGAGCAGCAGAUGGACGUUCCUCAACAGUAUGAUGCCAUCCUGCACCUUGACGAGAGAGCAGCUUCAGGAGGGAGUCGUGGUAAUCAUAACAUCAUUCGUACACACGAAGCCCUCAAUAGCACGCCAUGGUCCAAGUCUAACAGCUUCUCCCACCAGUCUGAUGUAUAGGCUAUGAAAACCUGAAUUCCAGUGGUCCUUGAGGAUAGUAAGUGACAGUGAUGCCAAGCCGGCACAGAGGGAGAUAAGCUCCUAAACCAGGGGGCAUCCAAGCAGCUCAAACAGGGUGUUUGGCUCAGGGGGACAGACCGACCAUGGUUGCACAGAAAGACCCGCCAGGCCACUGCCAUCCCACCCACAGUCCCUAGUUGGGAAACACAGGACGACUUCCUAGGGAAUAUCUUCAGCAGUGAGCUGGUGGGGGAGGCUCAUCUCCAUUCAGUCCUGGAGUGGCUUAGCCAGUCUCCAGAUCUCAACCCCAUAGAAAAUCUUUGGAGGGAGUUGAAAGUCUGUGUUGCCCAGCAACAGCCCCAAAACAUCACUGCUCUAGAGGAGAUCUGCAUGGAGGAAUGGGCUAAAAUACCAGCAACAGUGUGUGAAGACUUACAGAAAAUGUUUGACCUCUGUCAUUGCCAACAAAGGGUAUGUAACAAAGUAUUGAGAUAAACUUUUGUUAUUGACCAAAUACUUAUUUUUUCCACCAUAAUAUGCAAAUAAAUUCAUUAAAAAUCCUACAAUGUGAUUUUCUGGAUUUGUUUUCCUCAUUUUGUCUGUCAAGGUUGAAGUGUACCUAUGAUGAAAAUUACAGGCCUCUCUCAUCUUUUUAAGUGGGAGAACGUGCACAAUUGGUGGCUGACUAAAUACUUUUGCCCC
rnacentral:lncRNA from 1 species